AGCGAACGCUGGCGGCAGGCUUAACACAUGCAAGUCGAGCGGGCACUUUCGGGUGUCAGCGGCGGACGGGUGAGUAACGCGUGGGAACGUGCCCUCUGGUUCGGAAUAACUCAGGGAAACUUGAGCUAAUACCGGAUACGCCCUUUUGGGGAAAGGCUUGCUGCCGGAGGAUGGGCCCGCGUCUGAUUAGCUAGUUGGUGAGGUAACGGCUCACCAAGGCGACGAUCAGUAGCUGGUCUGAGAGGAUGAUCAGCCACACUGGGACUGAGACACGGCCCAGACUCCUACGGGAGGCAGGAGUGGGGAAUAUUGGACAAUGGGCGCAAGCCUGAUGCAGCCAUGCCGCGUGAGUGAUGAAGGCCUUAGGGUUGUAAAGCUCUUUUAUCCGGGACGAUAAUGACGGUACCGGAGGAAUAAGCCCCGGCUAACUUCGUG
rnacentral:rRNA from 1 species